rnacentral:rRNA from 1 species
AUUGAACGCUGGCGGCAGGCCUAACACAUGCAAGUCGAGCGGAGCGGCGGACGGGUGAGUAAUGCCUAGGAAUCUGCCUGGUAGUGGGGGAUAACGUCCGGAAACGGGCGCUAAUACCGCAUACUAUCAGAUGAGACUAGGUCGGAUUAGCUAGUUGGUGGGGUAAAGGCCUACCAAGGCGACGAUCCGUAGCUGGUCUGAGAGGAUGAUCAGUAACAUUGGAACGGGGAAACGGUCCAGACUCCAACGGUAGGCAGCAUUGGGGAAUAUUGGACAAGGGGCGAAAGCCUGAUCCAGCCAUGCCGGGUGUGUGAAGAAGGUCUUCGGAUUGUAAAGCACUUUAAGUUGGGAGGCGUUACCAACAUAAUAAGCACCGGCUAACUUCGUGCCAGCAGCCGCGGUAAUUC